rnacentral:rRNA from 1 species
GGUGAUCAGUGCGAAAUGGCCCCACCUCUUCCCAUUCCGAACAGAGUCGUGAAACGUUUCAGCGCCGACGAUAGUAUUGUCCGCAAGGUUUUGCGAAAAUAGGUCAUCGCCG